ACCUCAGGUGGCUUAGUGGUUAGAGCGUCCGCGUCAGAUGCCGGAGGUCGUGGGUUCGAUUUCCAGUCGAGUCA